GACUGUCCCUUCUCACAGCCACCACCAACUGACUUCCCCACAGCCUCCAGAUGAGCAAAAAGGUAAAACUCCGGCAUUUUCCACAUCCUCAGCAUCCUCCACCUCCUCAGCUGUUCGCACCCGUGCUGGGAUGCAGGUAGGAUGCCCCCAGUUGACAAGGGAGGAAACUGAGGCCCAGCAAUGGGGAGGGACUCCCCCAGGGUCACACAGCAAGGCCAUGGCUGAGCCUGGACACAGGCCCAGGGCUCAGCACAGCUGGGUCAGUGCUCAGGGGUUUGCUUCCCAGCCCUGCCGGCCCUAUUUGGUUAUUGCCUUGGUCUCCUGAGAAACGUGUCGGCAAAUGUGGCCGCUCUGCUGCAUGCGGUGGGGGUGGAAAUUGAAUCAGUGGCCAGAGGGAGGACCCCCAACUGCCUUCUUUCUCAGCACCACUGGUUUUGCCUCCUGGGCACCAGACGUUUGGAGGAGAUAGUGGGGGCUGGGAGGGAAACUGAGGCCCAGAGUCCAGGGUCUGGGAUUGGGCCCUGCUCAAUAGCCCGUGUGACCUCAAGCAAGUCUCUGGGCCUCAGCGUUGCCAUCUGGGAAAUGCAGUCAUAAUCGCCUCAGCAUUGCCAUCUGGGAAAUGCAGUCACAAUCACUGCCCUUUACGCCACAUGUCCCCCACCCUGGUGGGGUCAGAUCAAAGGAAUCAGGAGACAGAAAAAGUUUGCUGGGACUGGGAAGGACAGACACAGGAAAACAGAGCAGUGGGCAAGUGUGGCCCCUCACCGUGGAGCCUGAUUCUAGUACCUCUGUGCUCUUUCCCCACCCAAGUAUUGGGUCCCAGCCUCACUGCUGUUGGGAAUGUGAGACAGCAUCCCAUGACACCCCCAUCCCCCUGCCGCCCCAGUAACUCCCCACCUGGGAUCCCAUGAUGCCCCCAUCCCCCUGCCGCCCCAGUAACUCCCCACCUGGGAUCCCAUGAUGCCCCCAUCCCCCUGCUGCCCCAGUAACUCCCCACCUGGGAUCCCAUGACGCCCCCAUCCCUCUGCUGCCCCAGUAACUCCCCACCUGAGAUCCCAUGUGAGCCCAGGCCUGCGGGCAGGGGAUGGAGUGUGCGAAUGCCUCCCCUGCCCGGCCGCAAGGUCAGAGACAGCCAGAGACACAGUGGACUGCAGAGAUCGAGAGACGCGGUGGGGAGACAAAGAGACGGAUAAAGAGAAGCACAGAGAUGGAGAACGAAGUCAGUCAGAGAGACAGAGAUGCUGGGCCAGAGUGACAGCCAGAAAGCCACGGGAUGCCCAGAAGCAGAGACGUCUGCAGAGAGACAGUGAUGGACAAAGAGAAACAGAAACAAGGCGGGAAACAGGAGGAUCGCUUGAGCCCAGGAGAUCGAGACCAGCCUGGGCAACAAACGAAUAGCGUGAGUCAAGAGAAUCCCCUCACUCAGACACCCAGGUUCGGGUCCCAACUUUGUCGCCGUGUGACCUUGGGCAAAUGACCUCACCUCUGAGCCUCAACGUCUUCUUCUGCAAAAUGGGUUAGUGAUCCUGACUAUGGGGCUGUUGAUUCAGGAUUCGGCGGGAACGCCCAGCACUUCCUGAGUACACAAGAGUGCUGAGAAAAUGG